rnacentral:rRNA from 1 species
UUAAGCGACUAAGCGUACACGGUGGAUGCCCUGGCAGUCAGAGGCGAUGAAGGACGUGCUAAUCUGCGAUAAGCGUCGGUAAGGUGAUAUGAACCGUUAUAACCGGCGAUUUCCGAAUGGGGAAACCCAGUGUGAUUCGUCACACUAUCAUUAACUGAAUCCAUAGGUUAAUGAGGCGAACCGGGGGAACUGAAACAUCUAAGUACCCCGAGGAAAAGAAAUCAACCGAGAUUCCCCCAGUAGCGGCGAGCGAACGGGGAGCAGCCCAGAGCCUGAAUCAGUGUGUGUGUUAGUGGAAGCGUCUGGAAAGGCGCGCGAUACAGGGUGACAGCCCCGUACACAAAAAUGCACAUGCUGUGAGCUCGAUGAGUAGGGCGGGACACGUGGUAUCCUGUCUGAAUAUGGGGGGACCAUCCUCCAAGGCUAAAUACUCCUGACUGACCGAUAGUGAACCAGUACCGUGAGGGAAAGGCGAAAAGAACCCCGGCGAGGGGAGUGAAAAAGAACCUGAAACCGUGUACGUACAAGCAGUGGGAGCACGCUUAGGCGUGUGACUGCGUACCUUUUGUAUAAUGGGUCAGCGACUUAUAUUCUGUAGCAAGGUUAACCGAAUAGGGGAGCCGAAGGGAAACCGAGUCUUAACUGGGCGUUAAGUUGCAGGGUAUAGACCCGAAACCCGGUGAUCUAGCCAUGGGCAGGUUGAAGGUUGGGUAACACUAACUGGAGGACCGAACCGACUAAUGUUGAAAAAUUAGCGGAUGACUUGUGGCUGGGGGUGAAAGGCCAAUCAAACCGGGAGAUAGCUGGUUCUCCCCGAAAGCUAUUUAGGUAGCGCCUCGUGAAUUCAUCUCCGGGGGUAGAGCACUGUUUCGGCAAGGGGGUCAUCCCGACUUACCAACCCGAUGCAAACUGCGAAUACCGGAGAAUGUUAUCACGGGAGACACACGGCGGGUGCUAACGUCCGUCGUGAAGAGGGAAACAACCCAGACCGCCAGCUAAGGUCCCAAAGUCAUGGUUAAGUGGGAAACGAUGUGGGAAGGCCCAGACAGCCAGGAUGUUGGCUUAGAAGCAGCCAUCAUUUAAAGAAAGCGUAAUAGCUCACUGGUCGAGUCGGCCUGCGCGGAAGAUGUAACGGGGCUAAACCAUGCACCGAAGCUGCGGCAGCGACACUAUGUGUUGUUGGGUAGGGGAGCGUUCUGUAAGCCUGUGAAGGUGUACUGUGAGGUAUGCUGGAGGUAUCAGAAGUGCGAAUGCUGACAUAAGUAACGAUAAAGCGGGUGAAAAGCCCGCUCGCCGGAAGACCAAGGGUUCCUGUCCAACGUUAAUCGGGGCAGGGUGAGUCGACCCCUAAGGCGAGGCCGAAAGGCGUAGUCGAUGGGAAACAGGUUAAUAUUCCUGUACUUGGUGUUACUGCGAAGGGGGGACGGAGAAGGCUAUGUUGGCCGGGCGACGGUUGUCCCGGUUUAAGCGUGUAGGCUGGUUUUCCAGGCAAAUCCGGAAAAUCAAGGCUGAGGCGUGAUGACGAGGCACUACGGUGCUGAAGCAACAAAUGCCCUGCUUCCAGGAAAAGCCUCUAAGCAUCAGGUAACAUCAAAUCGUACCCCAAACCGACACAGGUGGUCAGGUAGAGAAUACCAAGGCGCUUGAGAGAACUCGGGUGAAGGAACUAGGCAAAAUGGUGCCGUAACUUCGGGAGAAGGCACGCUGAUAUGUAGGUGAAGUCCCUCGCGGAUGGAGCUGAAAUCAGUCGAAGAUACCAGCUGGCUGCAACUGUUUAUUAAAAACACAGCACUGUGCAAACACGAAAGUGGACGUAUACGGUGUGACGCCUGCCCGGUGCCGGAAGGUUAAUUGAUGGGGUUAGCGCAAGCGAAGCUCUUGAUCGAAGCCCCGGUAAACGGCGGCCGUAACUAUAACGGUCCUAAGGUAGCGAAAUUCCUUGUCGGGUAAGUUCCGACCUGCACGAAUGGCGUAAUGAUGGCCAGGCUGUCUCCACCCGAGACUCAGUGAAAUUGAACUCGCUGUGAAGAUGCAGUGUACCCGCGGCAAGACGGAAAGACCCCGUGAACCUUUACUAUAGCUUGACACUGAACAUUGAGCCUUGAUGUGUAGGAUAGGUGGGAGGCUUUGAAGUGUGGACGCCAGUCUGCAUGGAGCCGACCUUGAAAUACCACCCUUUAAUGUUUGAUGUUCUAACGUUGACCCGUGAUCCGGGUUGCGGACAGUGUCUGGUGGGUAGUUUGACUGGGGCGGUCUCCUCCUAAAGAGUAACGGAGGAGCACGAAGGUUGGCUAAUCCUGGUCGGACAUCAGGAGGUUAGUGCAAUGGCAUAAGCCAGCUUGACUGCGAGCGUGACGGCGCGAGCAGGUGCGAAAGCAGGUCAUAGUGAUCCGGUGGUUCUGAAUGGAAGGGCCAUCGCUCAACGGAUAAAAGGUACUCCGGGGAUAACAGGCUGAUACCGCCCAAGAGUUCAUAUCGACGGCGGUGUUUGGCACCUCGAUGUCGGCUCAUCACAUCCUGGGGCUGAAGUAGGUCCCAAGGGUAUGGCUGUUCGCCAUUUAAAGUGGUACGCGAGCUGGGUUUAGAACGUCGUGAGACAGUUCGGUCCCUAUCUGCCGUGGGCGCUGGAGAACUGAGGGGGGCUGCUCCUAGUACGAGAGGACCGGAGUGGACGCAUCACUGGUGUUCGGGUUGUCAUGCCAAUGGCACUGCCCGGUAGCUAAAUGCGGAAGAGAUAAGUGCUGAAAGCAUCUAAGCACGAAACUUGCCCCGAGAUGAGUUCUCCCUGACUCCUUGAGAGUCCUGAAGGAACGUUGAAGACGACGACGUUGAUAGGCCGGGUGUGUAAGCGCAGCGAUGCGUUGAGCUAACCGGUACUAAUGAACCGUGAGGCUUAACCUU